GGCUCAAUGGUCUAGUAGUAUGAUUCUCGCUUCGGGCUACAAUCCUGAAUUGCGAGAGGUCCCGGGUUCAAUUCCCGGUUGAGCCC